rnacentral:rRNA from 1 species
CCCCUUCGGGGGUACUCGAGUGGCGAACGGGUGAGUAACACGUGGGUAAUCUGCCCUGCACUUCGGGAUAAGCCUGGGAAACUGGGUCUAAUACCGGAUAGGACCAUUUAGCGCAUGCUUUAUGGUGGAAAGCUUUUGCGGUGUGGGAUGGGCCCGCGGCCUAUCAGCUUGUUGGUGGGGUGACGGCCUACCAAGGCGACGACGGGUAGCCGGCCUGAGAGGGUGUCCGGCCACACUGGGACUGAGAUACGGCCCAGACUCCUACGGGAGGCAGCAGUGGGGAAUAUUGCACAAUGGGCGCAAGCCUGAUGCAGCGACGCCGCGUGGGGGAUGACGGCCUUCGGGUUGUAAACCUCUUUCAGCAGGGACGAAGCGCAAGUGACGGUACCUGCAGAAGAAGCACCGGCCAACUACGUGCCAGCAGCCGCGGUAAUACGUAGGGUGCGAGCGUUGUCCGGAAUUACUGGGCGUAAAGAGCUCGUAGGUGGUUUGUCGCGUUGUUCGUGAAAUCUCACGGCUUAACUGUGAGCGUGCGGGCGAUACGGGCAGACUGGAGUACUGCAGGGGAGACUGGAAUUCCUGGUGUAGCGGUGGAAUGCGCAGAUAUCAGGAGGAACACCGGUGGCGAAGGCGGGUCUCUGGGCAGUAACUGACGCUGAGGAGCGAAAGCGUGGGGAGCGAACAGGAUUAGAUACCCUGGUAGUCCACGCCGUAAACGGUGGGUACUAGGUGUGGGUUUCCUUCCUUGGGAUCCGUGCCGUAGCUAACGCAUUAAGUACCCCGCCUGGGGAGUACGGCCGCAAGGCUAAAACUCAAAGGAAUUGACGGGGGCCCGCACAAGCGGCGGAGCAUGUGGAUUAAUUCGAUGCAACGCGAAGAACCUUACCUGGGUUUGACAUGCACAGGACGCCGGCAGAGAUGUCGGUUCCCUUGUGGCCUGUGUGCAGGUGGUGCAUGGCUGUCGUCAGCUCGUGUCGUGAGAUGUUGGGUUAAGUCCCGCAACGAGCGCAACCCUUGUCUCAUGUUGCCAGCGCGUAAUGGCGGGGACUCGUGAGAGACUGCCGGGGUCAACUCGGAGGAAGGUGGGGAUGACGUCAAGUCAUCAUGCCCCUUAUGUCCAGGGCUUCACACAUGCUACAAUGGCCGGUACAAAGGGCUGCGAUGCCGCAAGGUUAAGCGAAUCCUUUUAAAGCCGGUCUCAGUUCGGAUCGGGGUCUGCAACUCGACCCCGUGAAGUCGGAGUCGCUAGUAAUCGCAGAUCAGCAACGCUGCGGUGAAUACGUUCCCGGGCCUUGUACACACCGCCCGUCACGUCAUGAAAGUCGGUAACACCCGAAGCCAGUGGCCUAACCCUUUGGGAGGGAGCUGUCGAAGGUGGGAUCGGCGAUUGGGACGAAGUCGUAACAAGGUAGCCG